UUGGACCAGCAUUUGCCAUGGACAACAAUCCAGGUUGAUCAUGCUGCAUAAUUAACAGACAACAAAUUGGAAGUUGAAAUUUACUUUAAAGAGGAAAUAUGCAGCACGUGUAUUUAUGAAUACCUGAUAUACCGCCAAUUGAAACAUCAAAAAAACAGCGAGGAUUGUUUACUUUUUCUGAGGAUUCCUUGGUUGACAUUUUAAUCAAAUGUAGAGUCAAAUGGCUAUUCAAUGAUUAACAGUCUCGACAACUUUGAACCACUGCAAACAAAGAAGUUAAAAAGAACCACUGACUGUACGGUUGGUGAAGUGAAGCCAACCACUGCAAAGAACCUGGAAGGGAAAAAUGCAAAUAACGAAAAAAAUACACGCUUGGAUGUCACAAAAUCGUUAAAACACGCACUAAAAAGAACGGCAAAGUUUCGGUUAUUGUUAUUUUUUCUUCAGUUCUUCUUCAAUACAAUGUCUAUUUCUAUGAGAAGUUCUAUUUUCAUACAAAAUUUCUUUAUUUAGGUUAUUGAAACAAUUUUAGUCGUCACACUUUACCCACGGUAAAGUCAAGAAUAUAGUUUUAAUUCAUGCCAAACACAACAAACGGAUUGCUGGUGAUAGGGGGAGUUGUUGCCGCUAUUGGUAUAGCCAUUUACCCAGUUGCCAUUCAUCCUAAACUUUUCCCCCAAAAAUACCAGAAAAUGCAAGAAGCAAAUAGAAAAGAAACAAGCAAAGAAGACAUCCAACCAGGAGGAAUGAAAGUAUGGUCAGAUCCAUUUAAGAAGAAGUGAUAAUGAACAGUUAUUAUCCAGCAAAUGAACAUGUAUCUUGGACAGUUUGAAGUUGGUUGCUCCAAUCCAAUUGUUGAGGAUCACAUGUAUAUAAGUCUGUCUAAUAAAUAAUUGUAUUCAUAUAUAUAUAGUUAUAAUACAUCAAUCUAUAUUGUGUAAGAAAAAUGGCACCUCUUGUAUGAUAAAUACAUGUUUGUGUAUUUGAUAUUAAAUAUGUUCAACCAUAGUGCAAAAAUAUCUUAGAUUUAUUGUAUUAAAAUCCUGUCAAACCUUA